GCUGCAGCGGAUCUGCUCCCUGUUCAAUCGAACUUCAGCUCGUAUCUGGGCCGUCCAUGGAAGCAGUAUUCGAGGACAGUGUAUCUCCAGUCCCAGCUGGACGACGUGGUGGCACCCGCUGGGUGGCUUCCGUGGAAUGGGAGCUUUGCGUUGGAUACGCUGUACUAUGGGGAGUACCAGAACCGGGGACCCGGGGCGAAUACCAGUGCGAGGGUGACGUGGCCCGGUUACAGGGUGAUUAAUAGCUCGGCGGAAGCGAGUAAUUUUACGGUGACGAACUUCAUACAGGGGGAUGUGUGGCUGGCGGCUACCUCAGUCCCGU
rnacentral:misc_RNA from 1 species